GAUGAACGCUAGCGAUAGGCUUAACACAUGCAAGUCGAGGGGCAGCACAAGGUAGCUUGCUAUCUGGGUGGCGACCGGCGCACGGGUGCGUAACGCGUAUGCAACUUGCCCUAUACAGGAGGAUAACCCGUCGAAAGACGGACUAAUACUGCGUAUGCUCACAACUUGGCAUCAAGUGGUGAGGAAAGAAAUUCGGUAUAGGAUAGGCAUGCGUCCCAUUAGCUUGUUGGUGAGGUAACGGCUCACCAAGGCAACGAUGGGUAGGGGAACUGAGAGGUUUAUCCCCCACACUGGUACUGAGACACGGACCAGACUCCUACGGGAGGCAGCAGUGAGGAAUAUUGGUCAAUGGGCGCGAGCCUGAACCAGCCAAGUCGCGUGAAGGAUGACUGUCUUAUGGAUGGUAAACUUCUUUUAUACGGGAAUAACAAGAGUCACGGGUGACUCCCUGCAUGUACCGUAUGAAUAAGCAUCGGCUAACUCCGUG
rnacentral:rRNA from 1 species